UAGCACUCCCCUUGACAAGAAUGCAAGAGGCCCUCGGGCCUGACAACACACAAGAUUAUUAAGGCAUUGACACCUGCUUCCAAGGACGUUUUAUU
ensembl:snRNA